rnacentral:misc_RNA from 1 species
GUAGGUGAACCUGCGGAAGGAUCAUUAACACGUAUCCAAACGUUAAAACAACCCUGUGAAUAUUGAAUCUCAGUUCCCCCAGGGCAGAAAAAUGGGCUUCCUCUAGUAAAUCAUUGUCUUAACAAGGUUUUGAGUUAGAGGAUGGCGCAGUCGAGCGUUUCCAAGAUCCACCCCUGGUGCUUCCAAGCAACCAUCAAUCUGAAAGUGUUUGGUGAAUUGUGCAAGGGCAGCGCAGUCAACGAUCGGUGGUCCACACGGCCAUUGACCACUACUCCCACGUGGGGCCUUGUUCAUUCAGGUUGAACAUGAUGCAUGUCUCCCGCGCCCGACGAAAGUCCGACGCACCCCUAACCGAACAACAGUUAACAAUGGAUAUCUUGGUUCUC